AGUGAACGCUGGCGGCAGGCCUAACACAUGCAAGUCGAACGGCAGCACAGUAAGAGCUUGCUCUUACGGGGGGCGAGUGGCGGACGGGUCAGGAAUACAUCGGAAUCUACUUUUUCGUGUGGGCUAACGUAGUGAGACGUACGCUAAUACAGCAUACGACCUACGUGUGCAAGCAGGGGAUCUUCCGACCUUGCGGGAUUGAAUGAGCCGAUGUCGGAUUAGCUAGUUGGCGGGGUAAAGGCCCACCAAGGCGACGAUACGUAGCUGGUCUGAGAGGAUGAUCGGCCACACUGGAACUGGGCCUGGGUCCAGAGUCCUAAGGGAGGCAGCAGUGGGGUAUGGUGGACAAUGGGGGAAAGCAUGACCCAGGCAGACCGCGUCAGUGAAGGAGGCCUUCGGGUUGUAAAGCCGUUGUGUUGGUAAAGAAACGCAGGAGGUUAAGACCCCGCGGUUGUGACGGUACCCAAAAAAUAAGCACCGGCUAACUACGUG
rnacentral:rRNA from 1 species